GACGAACGCUGGCGGCGUGCUUAACACAUGCAAGUCGAACGGAAAGGCCCUGCUUGCAGGGUACUCGAGUGGCGAACGGGUGAGUAACACGUGGGUGAUCUGCCCUGCACUUCGGGAUAAGCCUGGGAAACUGGGUCUAAUACCGGAUAGGAGCCAUUUUUAGUGUGAUGGUUGGAAAGUUUUUUCGGUGUAGGAUGAGCUCGCGGCCUAUCAGCUUGUUGGUGGGGUAAUGGCCUACCAAGGCGGCGACGGGUAGCCGGCUUGAGAGGGUGGACGGCCACAUUGGGACUGAGAUACGGCCCAGACUCCUACGGGAGGCAGCAGUGGGGAAUAUUGCACAAUGGGCGCAAGCCUGAUGCAGCGACGCCGCGUGGGGGAUGACGGCCUUCGGGUUGUAAACUCCUUUCGCUAGGGACGAAGCUUUUUGUGACGGUACCUAGAUAAGAAGCACCGGCUAACUACGUG
rnacentral:rRNA from 1 species